UCGCCGUCACCCAAACAACCCGAAACAGGGUUGCGAAAUCGGCGUUUCGCAGUGUCACCCAAACGCAGCUCCACUUUUCCCCUUCUUCUCCUGCAAAUUGGGAAGAGAGAGAGAGCGAGAGAGAGAGAGAGAGGGAAGAGAAGAGGGAAGGGAAAGGCUCGCAAGGGACGUCUCCCUUCCUUCCUGUCCGCCAUGGAAGACGAGAUACUCCUCAAGCUCGCUCAGGAAUACAGCGUAGUACGGAAUUCCGGUCAUUCGGACGCGUCUUCGUCCAGCUCACAGGAGUUCAACCUUCCUCUCGACGUUUCUUUUGACUUGGGAUAUCAUCUGCUGGUGAAAGCCAUUCAAGAACUUCGAAGAAAAAAGAGUUGCCUUAUCACAGUAGGCAUAGGUGGCCCCAGUGGCUCUGGCAAGACCAGCUUAGCCAAGAAGAUAGCAUCAGUCUUUGGUUGUUUUGUCAUAUCAAUGGAGGACUACCAGAAUGGACUUGAUAUUGGAAAUGAAUUGGAUUCGAUAGACUUGGAAGAAUUAAGGAAAAACCUUAUGGAUUUGUUGAAGGGGAAUUCCGUAGAAGUACCUAUAUUUGACUUUCAGAAGAAGGCACGUGUUGGACAGAGGAUAUUGGACGGUUGCUCACCUGGAGUAGUGAUAGUUGAUGGUGUUUUUGCCUUACAUUCAUCAUUGCAACCAUUGCUGGAUUUUCGGGUUGCAGUUGUUGGUGGUGUUCAUUUCAGUCUUUUGAGUAAAGUCAACAAUGAUAUUGGGAAUAUGUGUUCACUAGAAAACCUUGUUGACAGCAUCUUCCCAUUGUUCAGAAAUUACAUUGAACCAGACCUUAACUGUGCACAGAUCAGAAUCAACAAUAGCUUUGUCUCAUCCUUUAGGGAGCCUAUCUACAAGCUAAAGUGCAAUAAGCCACCAGGUUCACCUGCAACUUUCCCAUUUCAUGGAAGCGAAACACGAAGUGAGGAUUAUAUUGAGAUGUUCCUGAGAUCACCAACUGCUACUGAACAAGCUAACAUUAGCGAUUGGAUAAAGGUGCGGCAAUGUGGAAUCAAAUAUUACUUGUCACUUGGUGAUCAGAGGCUUGUUCAUCAGAACUACAUUCUCCGGCCUAAAGCUGAAUUUGAGGUUGGACGGACAACAUUGGGUGGACUAUUGCAGCUGGAUUACAAAGUUAUUAUUAGUUAUAAACGUAGAUCGACAUCUAUCAACAAAGGUGGAGUCUCCAUUUUGCUGGAAAGUAUUGAUGAGCUUGGUGAGACAUUUUUGGUCUUAAAGGGCACAAGCAGGAAAGUGGUUGAGGCUGAGGCAGCUUUGCUUGGGGUCAAGGGUCCAUGGAUCACCAAAUCCUAUUUGGCUAUGCUUAUAGAGAGUAAAGCUGUGCCACCGCUUUCUACACCAGUCUCACAUCCAGGGAGGAAAACCCAUGAAACAAUGGCUUCCAUCUCACAUUGUUUCCCUUCUUCUCAUAUGGAGCUUAUUAGCCGAGGUCUCUCACAAGAACCACCUUCAGAUUCUUCUGCUUUGAGGCAUGCAGCUCAGCAUCUUCCUGCUAAUAAAUUUUAUAACUUUGAUGAGGGAUUCCUUGUUUCCAUAUUGAAGAUUCAGAUAUUGUUGGAGAACAAAGGGUUUCCAGUAAUUGUGGGAAUUGGUGGACCCAGUGGUUCUGGUAAGAGUAGUAUGGCCUGUAAAUUGGCCAAUAUUGUUGGUUGCGAGGUCAUUUCUUUGGAAAGCUAUUAUAUACCUGAGAGGGUGACAGCCUUUAUGAACGACAAUAUCCGGUCUCUUGAUAUAUCUCUAAUUUUGGAGCAGACUAUCAAUGACAUAAAAACCAAGAAGAGGACAAAAGUCCCUGUGUUUGAUUUUGAGAGUCGUUCUCGUAAGGGGUUCCGCAAGUUAUCUGUUAUGGAAGAUUGUGGUGUGGUAAUUUUCGAGGGGAUACAUGCUCUGCAUCCUGAAGUACGGACUUCUUUUGAUUUGCUGAUUGCUGUUGUUGGUGGGGUGCAUUCCCAUUUGAUUGACAGAGUCAUGAAGGACCAGAGAAUGGCAGGCGGCACUGCAUCUGAGGAGGAGAUUAUGAAUACCGUAUUUCCAAUGUUCCAGCAAAAUAUCAAACCUCAUCUUGCUGAUGCCGAUAUUAAAAUACAGAAUGACUUUGAUCCUGUACUUUCACCAGAAAGUUCAUUAUUUGUUUUGAAAAGUAACAGGAAGGUAUCACAGCAUGCAAUAAAGAAGGUUCUUGACUCUGAGAAGCUGAGGAGCUCAGUUCAGAAAUUUACGGACAUAUAUUUGAUGCCACCUAUGAAGCGCCUGAGCGAGCAGCUUGCAGAAAGAGAGUUUGUACGUGUCAGAAUGUGUGAAGGCAGAUUUGCUUUGUUGAUAAGAGAGCCUAUCAGGGAAGGGGACUAUAUUUUGCAGCCUAAAGUGGAUUUUGACAUCAACGUUUGUACAGUCAGUGGACUGUUAAAGCUUGGAGCCAGUGGCGUGAUCACUUCAGGCUGCCGGCGACUGGCAGAUUUCCGGCGAUCUCCUCUCCGAUCCACUAGUGGAACAUGCCGUGGCUGCUGGGAUCUUGUCGUUGUUGCUGAUCAAAGAUUGCUUGUCGCUGACAUGGUGUGGCUGCUGGGAUCCUGUCGUUGCUGCUGAUCUAAGAUUGCUUGUUGCUGCUGCUGAUCAUGGAGAUGGCUUGUUGACGUUGCUGAUUGUGGAACAGCAAGAUGUGGACUUGCUGUUUGAAAGUUGAGGUUGGGAACAGAAAAAACAGCGACAAUCUUCGUCUGUACCAGGCUGUGGCAUACAUAUCUGCUUCUGCAACCAUUUAUCAGGAUGACAAGGUUGGGGUAACUAUUGUUCACAAUUCUUGGAAGCCUCUGGGCUUUGAUACCUUUGUUAGCAUCGGCUAACAACUCACUCACACACCCCCACUUGAAGCCAGCUUCAGAGAAUAAUUAUAUUGCUUCUUAGGUUUCUAAUCCCCAUUAAGAGCUAUGUAUGUAUCCUCAAUACUAGUUAUUGGGUUUAUUAUCAACUAACUAUUUACCUAAUCCAACCAACGACUUACAUAAGGGUCAUAUCCAUCCGACUCACAAACCCACAUCUAAAAUAGGAAAAAUGAGAGAAUAAGAAAAUUGGUCAGCGGUUCGGUUCUGUCCAGAUCUUACAAGAACUAUCUGAACCUUGGAGCCGGCAGUCUUAGAGAGAGAAUAACUUGUUAUUUACUAACCCUAAUCUCAAUAAUAAAGAGAUUAGGGCAAAGGUAGAGACUUACAAAUAACAUCAACUAAAAAUAGAGGAAUGUUUAAAGAGAACUCCUAACUAUUAAAUAUUGCAAAGAACCACCUAGAAACUUAAAGUCUUCUAAUUCAACAGAUACCAUGUAAAUCAAGCCCCAAUACCAACUGGUUGGUGCCCAGCCUCAAGAGAGGUCAGUCAAACAACUUGGCCACUUAGCCAAAACAAAGUUUUCACACUAUUAAUCCAGAAACAAAUACAAGAAGAAGGCACUCAGGCAAUUGUUUACAAUGGGAAAGGCUUCCAUUAUUUAUAGACAGCAAAAGGAGAAGUAGAGGAAGGGAGGUAGUUCCAACGGCUAGCAAAUGGCCAGCUCAAUCAGCUCAGCUGUUUAACAGCUGAACCAAAUAAAACAUAAAAAAGUAAAGAAAGAAAAAUUAAAAAAAAAGAAAAAGAAAAAUAAGAUGAACAUAUAAAAGUUACAAGAACAUUAUAUAUGUAUAUACAUACAUACUCAAGUCAAACCUCAAUGAGUGAUUGACGCAUACUUACAUAAUUUCUAAUGCUUCAUUAUACUGUUACUCUACUAAAAGAACACUCAUUGAGGUUUACUAUAAGAUUAAAUGAUGCAAAACAAGUACAUUAUAUGUCAUGGCAAAGAACAUUAUGAUAUCAAAAUGCAUCUAAUAUCAAAUCUGUCCAUGUGAGAUAAGGCUAACGAAUUGCACAAUGUGCCAUUUAUAUUCCUUUAAAGUUUAAACAGUGCAUGUACAAUUACUGAGUCGUUCAUUCUUCUAACCCAAAGUAAUGUGCCGUUCAUGGUACUGCUUCUCAAAUUUUGUUUAUCAUGCUGCGUGAUUGUCGUCUGAAUGUCUGGUUGCCAUUUGGAACAGUUAUUAUUUUCCCUGACAUGUACAUUCUAAAUAAAUCUCAACUCCAGCACUUUGAAACCUUGAAGGUCAUCCUUUUGGAAAAAGGCUAAGAAGUGGAAAAAGAUAUUAAAGUCUUGUCGUAAUGAAUGUAUAUUGUUUUGAGGACCUGCAGUGUCAACACCAUUUUCUUUAAAAAUAUUGGUUUGUUGUCCAUUGCUUUUUCUCACUCACCUCCUACAGAUUCUUAUAGAGGUGGAUGAAUUUGAGGAUGCAGCAACAUGUUACCUUCAGAUUAAAGGAUUGAAUAAAGAAGCAGUAGCUGCGGCAGCCUCUGCACUUGAUCUGAAUGGUUCAUAUACUACCAAGAAUUAUCUUCAAAUUAUUUUGGA